AACGAACGCUGGCGGCAUGCCUAACACAUGCAAGUCGAACGAAACCUUCGGCUCUCGUUUCUCACGGGUGCGUACUGCAUUGGAACAUGCCCUUGUGUUCGGAAUAACUUCUCGAAACGACUUCUAAUUACGGCUAAUGUCUUCGGACUAAUGAUUUAUCGCCCUUGGAUGGGCCCGCGUUGGUUUAGCUAGUUGUUAGGGUAAAAGCCUACCAAGUCGACGAUCCAUAGCUGGUCUGAGAGGAUGAGCCGCCACACUGGGACUGAGACAAGGCCCAGGCGGCGACGGGAGGCAGCAGUGGGGAAGAUUGGAGAAUGGGCGAAAGCCUGAUCCAGCCAUGCCGCGUGAUUGAUGAAGGCCUUAGGGUUGUAAAGGUCUCUUACCCGGGAGGAUAAUGACAGUAGCGGGAGAAGAAGCUCCGGCUAACUCCGUG
rnacentral:rRNA from 1 species